UGGGGAAUAUUGGGCAAUGGGCGCAAGCCUGACCCAGCCACGCCGCGUGAGCGAUGAAGGCCUUCGGGUCGUAAAGCUCUGUGGGGAAGGACGAAAAACAUUGGCUAAUAUCCAAUGGCUUGACGGUACUUCCUUAGCAAGCACCGGCUAACUCUGUGCCAGCAGCCGCGGUAAUACAGAGGGUGCAAACGUUGCUCGGAAUCAUUGGGCGUAAAGCGCACGUAGGCGGCCUGAUAAGUCGGUAGUGAAAGCCCUCGGCUUAACCGAGGAAGUGCUAUCGAAACUGCCAGGCUUGAGUACCGGAGAGGAUCGCGGAAUUCCCGGUGUAGAGGUGAAAUUCGUAGAUAUCGGGAGGAACACCAGUGGCGAAGGCGGCGAUCUGGACGGAUACUGACGCUGAGGUGCGAAAGCGUGGGGAGCAAACAGGAUUAGAUACCCUUGUAGUCCCUGAGCGGGCUGGCAAGGCGC
rnacentral:rRNA from 1 species